AACAAGACGUGAUGACGUGACACU
rnacentral:miRNA from 1 species